UUAAUGGGUGAUGGCGUGCCUUUUGUAGAAUGAACCGGCGAGUUACGAUUGCAUGCGAGGUUAAGUUGAAGAGACGGAGCCGCAGCGAAAGCGAGUCUGAAUAGGGCGUUUGAGUAUGUAGUCGUAGACCCGAAACCAUGUGAUCUACCCAUGUCCAGGUUGAAGGUGCGGUAAAACGCACUGGAGGACCGAACCCACGUACGUUGAAAAGUGCGGGGAUGAGGUGUGGGUAGCGGAGAAAUUCCAAACGAACUUGGAGAUAGCUGGUUCUCUCCGAAAUAGCUUUAGGGCUAGCCUCGGAAUUGAGAAUGAUGGAGGUAGAGCACUGUUUGGACUAGGGGCCCAUCUCGGGUUACCGAAUUCAGAUAAACUCCGAAUGCCAUUCAUUCAUAUCCGGGAGUCAGACUGUGAGUGAUAAGAUCCAUAGUCGAAAGGGAAAC
rnacentral:rRNA from 1 species